rnacentral:rRNA from 1 species
AGUUGCGAUCAUACCAGCACUAUUGCACCGGAUCCCAUUAGAACUUGCAGCUAAGCGUGCUUUGGCGAGAGUAGUACUAGGAUGGGUGACCCCCUGGGAAGUCCUCGUGUUGCAACCC